GACGAACGCUGGCGGCGUGCCUAAUACAUGCAAGUAGAACGCUGAAACUUGGUGCUUGCACCGAGCGGAUGAGUUGCGAACGGGUGAGUAACGCGUAGGUAACCUGCCUGGUAGCGGGGGAUAACUAUUGGAAACGAUAGCUAAUACCGCAUAAGAGUAGAUGUUGCAUGACAUUUGCUUAAAAGGUGCAAUUGCACCACUACCAGAUGGACCUGCGUUGUAUUAGCUAGUUGGUGGGGUAACGGCUCACCAAGGCGACGAUACAUAGCCGACCUGAGAGGGUGAUCGGCCACACUGGGACUGAGACACGGCCCAGACUCCUACGGGAGGCAGCAGUAGGGAAUCUUCGGCAAUGGACGGAAGUCUGACCGAGCAACGCCGCGGGAGUGAAGAAGGGUUUCGGAUCGUAAAGCUCUGUUGUAAGAGAAGAACGAGUGUGAGAGUGGAAAGUUCACACUGUGACGGUAUCUUACCAGAAAGGGACGGCUAACUACGUG
rnacentral:rRNA from 1 species